GCAUAUCAUAGCGAGAAAGAAUCACAGGAUUGCCCCAGUAACGGCGAGUGAAGCGGCAACAGCUCAGAUUUGGAAUCUGGCCCCCAGGGCCCGAGUUGUAAUCUGGAGAGGAUGCUUCUGGCGCGGCGCCUUCCGAGUUCCCUGGAACGGGACGCCGGAGAGGGUGAGAGCCCCGUACGGUUGGACGCCUAGCCUUUGUGAAGCUCCUUCGACGAGUCGAGUAGUUUGGGAAUGCUGCUCAAAAUGGGAGGUAAAUUUCUUCUAAAGCUAAAUACCGGCCAGAGACCGAUAGCGCACAAGUAGAGUGAUCGAAAGAUGAAAAGCACUUUGAAAAGAGGGUCAAACAGUACGUGAAAUUGUUGAAAGGGAAGCGCCCGUGGCCAGACUUGUGCCCCGCGGACCACCCGGCGCCCUCAGCGCCGGUGCACUCCGCGGGGCGCAGGCCAGCAUCGGUUUUCCUAGGGGGAUAAAGGCGGCGGGAACGUGGCUCCUUCGGGAGUGUUAUAGCCCGUCGUGCCAUGCCCCUGGGGGGACCGAGGACCGCGCUUCGGCAAGGAUGCUGGCGUAAUGGCCACCGGCGACCCGUCUUGAAACACGGACCAAGGAGUCAAGCAUUGGGGCGAGUGUCUGGGUGCCAAACCCGCACGCGAAAUGAAAGUGAACGCAGGUGAGAGCUUCGGCGCAUCAUCGACCGAUCCUGAUGUUCUCGGAUGGAUUUGAGUAAGAGCCUUACCGCUUGGACCCGAAAGAUGGUGAACUAUGCCUGUAUAGGGUGAAGCCAGAGGAAACUCUGGUGGAGGCUCGCAGCGGUUCUGACGUGCAAAUCGAUCGUCAAAUAUGGGCAUGGGGCGAAAGACUAAUCGAACAUCUAGUAGCUGGAUACUGCGGAAG
rnacentral:rRNA from 1 species